UACAGAGGUGGCAAGCGUUGUUCGGAAUUACUGGGCGUAAAGGGCGCGUAGGCGGUCUUUUAAGUUCCGUGUGAAAUCCCUCGGCUCAACUGGGGAACUGCACGGAAAACUGGGAGGCUUGAGUUCGGGAGAGGGAAGCGGAAUUCCGGGUGUAGCGGUGAAAUGCGCAGAUAUCGGGAGGAACACCUAUGGCGAAGGCAGCUCGCUGGGACGUUACUGACGCUGAGACGCGAAAGCGUGGGGAGCAAACAGG
rnacentral:rRNA from 1 species